ACUCCUACGGGAGGCAGCAGUGGGGAAUCUUGGACAAUGGGGGCAACCCUGAUCCAGCCAUGCCGCGUGAGUGAUGAAGGCCUUAGGUCGUAAAGCUCUUUCGCCUGUGAUGAUAAUGACAGUAGCAGGUAAAGAAACCCCGGCUAACUCCGUGCCAGCAGCCGCGGUAAUACGGAGGGGUUAGCGUUGUUCGGAAUUACUGGGGCGUAAAGCGCGCGUAGGCGGAUUAGUCAGUUAGAGGUGAAAUCCCAGGGCUCAACCCUGGAACUGCCUUUAAUACUGCUAGUCUUGAGUUCGAGAGAGGUGAGUGGAAUUCCGAGUGUAGAGGUGAAAUUCGUAGAUAUUCGGAGGAACACCAGUGGCGAAGGCGGCUCACUGGCUCGAUACUGACGCUGAGGUGCGAAAGUGUGGGGAGCAAACAGGAUUAGAUACCCUGGUAGGAUAGCG
rnacentral:rRNA from 1 species